GUGGAUUUGCUGAGGAGUUUGUAAAAACUCCGAUGUUAAGCAUACUUGGGUGAGUGCAGUACCAGUAUGGAUGACCUCCUAGGAAGCCUCACCAAAUCCAUC
rnacentral:rRNA from 1 species